rnacentral:tRNA from 1 species
GGGCGCGUAGCUCAGUUGGUUAGAGCGUUACGUUGACAUCGUAAAGGUCAGAGGUUCGACUCCUCUCGCGCCCACCG